GGGGCGGAUUCAGGAUUCGACGAGAUUCACGAAACCCAAGGUGCAUGCCCAGGGGCGGUUGGCCUGGUAAAAAGCCGCAAAACUAUAAUUGCAAACGACGAAACUUUCGCACGUACUGCACUAGCCGCCUAAGGCUAGCCAUCCUCUCAUAGGUUCACCUAUUGCCUUGAGAUGCUGAUGGUCACCCCAAGUAGGUUAGCGAGGGAAGCUUGCUCAAGGCUGAACCGCGAAAUAGUAUUGAGCUCACCAUGACGAAGCCUGUCGAUUGGCGUCUAAUUGGUUAAAUAAAUAAUCGACUAAGCAUGUAGUACCGAGGAUGUAGGCUUUUCGGACGGGGGUUCGACUCCCCCCCGCUCCACCA
rnacentral:tmRNA from 1 species